GGGGGUGUGCUAUGGCUCACCGGCAGAGCAUCUGCUUUGUAUGCAGAAGGUCCCAGGUUCAAUUCCUGGCAUCUCCA